AGUGGAAGAAGCGGAGACACGCGGGACCCUCCCUAUUCACUGUGGUCCACCCUCUGGAAUCAAAGCAUCUUUCUGGGAGGGAAGAGGGGCUUGGGGCUGCCCUCCGGCCUCUCGCUGACCUCUCAAAAUGCGCGCUUUCCUGGAUACAGAACUCAGUCCUCCAAACCCGGUCAUCUGACUCUCGCUGCCAGCUCCCCCGCCCCUACCACCCGUCUCCCAACCCGUGCAGCCUCACAAUGGUUCAGCCCUUCCCUAUUUAGAGCGAGUAAGGUUGGACCACUGCUCGCACAAUGGGGGGAGCCCGAGGCGCGGCGGAGGGAUCCCUCUGGAGCGUUCCGACGGGAGGCGCCCAUUGGUCGCGAGUGCACACGGCCGUCGCUGAUUAGUCCGCCCGGGACGCCGGCCCCGCCCAAGUCCCGGAGGCCCAGGGAGAAGCCGGGCGGAGUUUCGAGAGGACCGAGCAGGGCGCGCGCGGUGGCGGCGGCGCAGGAAACUGGAGGGUAACCGGAAGCCUGAAGACCCAGAGGCCGCUGGUAGUGUGGAUGAGUGGGAUGGAGAGCGCUCCGGAAGUGAGAAGAGAGCAUGGCUGAGCAGGGAACCCUCUCAGGAGGAUGUGAACCAGCCAGCUGGGUGCCCUUCCUCAGGAGAGGCUCUGCAGAGCACAGGCAGUUCCUAGUCCACAGGAAGUGGAGUGUGGUACGGAAGCUGAGGAGGAGGAGGAGGAUCAGGAGUUCAAGGCCAGCCUAUGCUACUUAGUGUGACCCUGCCUCAAAAUAAGAGAGAUGAAUUUAGCCUGGUGUGGUAAUGUACACCUGUGUCCCUAGCACUCUGGAGGAUGAGGCAGGGAUCACAAGUUCAAGGUCAACUUUGGCUAUAGCAAGUUUGAGGCCAGCCUGAGCUACCUGGUGGGGGAGGUGAAAUGUCCCUGAGGAUCGGUGUCAGGCCAAGGAACUCCCUGGGGUAUUGCAAAUGAAGCACCCUUGAGGGAGCUUGUGUUGUGAGUCUUUUUUUUUUUUUUUUUUUUGCUUUGGACAACAAGUGACUUGAAAAUGAAAUCAGGGUCUGGGUGUGGUCCAUGAUUAUUUACCUAGUGUUCAGAGGCCUAGCCCCAUCCCAGCACUACCAGAAGAAAAAUGCCACCUUCUCUUGCCCCCCUUUCUCCUCCCUCCCUCCCUCCCUCCUUCCCUCCACUCCAGCCACACCCUUCAGAGAUGCGCUGAAUGUGAAGUUCUUUACUACAGGGCUCUGUGCCUUCCCAGCUACCUAGAAUAUUCUUAUCCUGGAGGGAUGAUGUGUGGGAGGGAGGUCCUAGAGAUGGGACCAGGGCUUCUCUAAAACCAGGCUUUUACUGCUGCUGGUCCACACGAAGUGUAUAGUCAGCCCCAGCUGGUUUAUUGUAGCUCUUGUAAGUAAAUCAGAAAAAUAGCUUUCUUCCCAGAGAUGGGCCAAAGUAGGGGUAUGGCUCAGCAGGCAGCUGUGGACUGAAGUUCACCCCAUUUGCCACCUUAAUACCUACUACAUCUACUUUGUGGUAAACAGAUUGUACAUCCAGUAUGAUGCUGCUAAUCAGGGCUGGGCAUGGCAGCACGUGCUGAAAGUCAGAUACUUGGAGGCUGAGGCAGGAGGAUCAUCGACCAGAAACUCAAGACUAAUCUAGAUACUAUAGCAGGAUUUUGCCUAAAAAAAUAUAAAAUGAACCUGGGGAGGGGGAAAUAAACACGCCUUUAAUCCCA
rnacentral:lncRNA from 1 species